CUAAAAAUUGUAGGUUAAAAUCCCUAAAAUAUUUACAUAGAAGAAGUGAUAAAAAAUUAAAUAUUAUCAAAAAUUAGGUGGUCACAAUAUGUUCCUAGUUCAAUUCUGAAACUCAACUCUAUGUGCUCCAUUGUUUGUCAAUCCCUGUCUCUUUCUGCACUGACUUAAUGGCUCAUGUUGUCUAAUUGCACUUCUUGUUUACUGCUUUACUCAACAUGCUUAAGUUCUGCCCUCUCUUGUUCAAAUGUAACAGCUGUAGACAUAUAAUUUUUGACCCUCUCCAAGAUUUUACACAUUUUAGUACUUAAAUAUUCACUCUAGGUCUAAUAUAGCUAUUUCAACUAGUUUUAACUAUUUACUUUAAAUUCGAAAAUACAAAAAAAUAGUUUUGCUUUGUUUUAUCUUUAUAUUUAAGCUAAGGUCAUUAGUAGUAGUACUAUUUUAGUUUACUAUGUUUAACUUAUGUUUAUCUACUUUUAUAAUAUUUGAAAAUACCAACAAAAAAAAAUUGUUUCGCUUUUAAUUUUUAAUUCUUACAUUAAUCAAUUAGGAGUAAUUUUAUGUUUUUACAAAUAUUUUAUAUUAAUUUGGAAGAAACUUGAAUGUAUAAUAAAAUUUUCAGUUCUUCUUGUCUAAAUUGAGCCCAAUUUCAAACCCACCCCAAAUGCCCAAUUUCAACACUCUUCUUCUUAACCAAGACAACCCUAGUUCUCUAGACCGAAGAGAACAACACCCAUCAGACCUUCUUCCUUAGACACAAGACUACAACACAAAACCAAACGAAUCCCUUCUUCUUCGAAAUAGCAGCAGCAAGACCGGCGACCACCUCCCCCCCAUCGCCGUUUCUUCUUCACCACCACAGCACCCUUGUCGCCGCCCCCCCCCCCUUUCUGAUUGGAUCCAUCUUUCUAUUCAACUUAAAAAAGUACACACACUCAUAGGAAAAGGUGAACCGUUUGAGGUGUCGUUCAAAGCACGGUUCGUGAACUUGUUUGAGUUUGAUUGCUAUUUCGGCCGUCUGUAACCGCACUAUAUUUUGUCGGAGCACCAGAGCUUUUUGUUAAUUGAAUCUUCUUUAAAGGUCAACUCCUCCCCUUACUAUUUUAUUGAUUUUGUUGUUGAUUCUUGGUUUAACUCUUGUAGAUAUUAAUUUUAGUGUCAAAGUUGGUUUGAGCUAGCUGUUUCUUUUAACAAUCCGCAUAGAGUAUUAAUUUCUAAACUUGGUUUAGUUUAAUUUUCUUCAUAUCUUGGCCUUUAGUAUUAGGAUCUUUGUUGCAGAUAUUGUUAUGAUGAAUAUAUAUUUAAGUGCUUGGAGUGCCAUGUUAAAAGGUGAACAAUAUGUUCUGUGUUAGGCUUGCUUUUUGUUAAAGUAAAAACAUGAGUAUUUAAAAAUCUUCGCAAAUCUCUUGAAGGCUAUUUUCUUAGUUUUCUGUGAUCAAAAUAUUUAUUGGCCUGGAUUUUUUUCUUAAUUUUAUUUGGACAUCCUUGAAUGACUAUUGGGCCGUGGGACGGGUGAAAGACCGAUCUCAUUAGUAUUAAUUUUGUCUACAUGCUUUAGGAAUGGUCUCGGUCUAAAUACAUGGAAUGAGUAAUUAAAAGAUGAGCAUGCCAUGAAUUAUUUUAUCUAGCUUUCCUUUAUUUAUUUUAAUAAUUUAAUCGUUAGAAGCAUGUUUAGGCCGGCCACACUUGGGUAGGCAAGCCUUAGGAUUUUUGUUAAUUUUGAGGCGAGAUGUCGUUCCCUUAGUUAAAUUAUCUGGGGAAUGCCCCGAAGAAUUUGUAUAUAUUUUAUUCCAGGGAAUGCCCCGAAGUAUUCUGUAAUUAGAGGCCAAAAGUAGUACUUGUAGUGUUUUAUUCUUGUUUUAUUUUUUCUUUAUUAGGUGAGACGACCUCGAGCCUUUUGUGUGUUUAUUUUGUUUUGUGUGUUUUUGCCUUAAUUAGAAUAUCCUUUAAAGCCGACUUGAUUAAGUACGCAACUGUACUAGUUACGGGACUUGGGGAGUGUCUAACACCUUCUCCCCGAGUCAAAUGAACUCUCUUAACUGAAUCUCUGGUUCAGACUUAGUUUUGGAGUCUCAAGUGUUUUGAAAGGAAAAGAUUAUUUUUAGAAAAACGGUGACCUGACACACCGAAAUCAAAUGUCAGGUGGCGACUCUGAGUUAUUUUCCUUUUGAAUACAAUUUUUGUCACGUUCUAGUUGGAAAAUCCUUUUCAAGUUUUACUAAAUCUUUUUAUUUUUAAGAGAGCUUAGUGAGGUUUGUAAAAAAUGGGUAUGACAACAACAUGUCUACUUGAGUUCCUGUUUAUGUCCCUCAACUAAUAUGUCUCCUAGUGUACUUGAUUAACACUAAGUCAUGACUAAUUAUGUGUAAUAGACCCCUGCAUGACUACUCUCAUAUCCUAUCCCUAUGUCUUACUACUAUUUUUAAGCAUGAUUCCCUUGUUAACUCUUUGAAGUACUUGUUUGUGUUCUAAAGGUCAAUCAGUCCCUACUUGUUCUUUGUACUUGUUGGUUUAUAUGCAUCUCUGCUCAACCAUGUUUAUGUGUUCCUGAUUUGGUUCCUCUAUGUCCCCAACCCCUUACUUCCCUGCUUGUGACUGUUGAAAUUGUACUAUCCUUUGAACUUGCUCUAUGUGUGCUGUCUUGUUCCAAGUUAUUGUUGCUCCUACUCCCUUCUCCUUUUCAAAAUUGUUCUGUUGUUUUGCAAACUCAUUUCAAACAUUCUGUUCUAAAACUGUUUUCCAACUCAACUCUUUUAAAUCUAUAUCAAGCACUCUCACAUAUACUUUUAGACCACUAGGUUCUGCCCCUUUUGUGUGAGCCUUGCCUUGGGACCCUUGAACUCCCUCUAAACUUGGACACAUAAAAGCUGGCCUUUUCACACUGCACUUACUCUGUCUUGACUAUGAAAUCUGGGUGUGAGCACUGCCCGAGAUCCCUUGAGGUCCUUAGGAAACUCUGACAUACCUAGGUAUGAGAAUUGGAACAAUAUUGGCACUUGAGGUGAUUGAUUACAUAACUCAGAGAGGAAGUACUAACCAGGCUUCCUAUAGUGUAACUUCUUAUUUUUCAUUUCUACUUAUGUAAUUCACUUCAAUGAUGGUCUGUAAUAACCUGUUGUAAACAAGUAUUGGGGUGGCUAGUGAAAAGAGAUAGGGUAAAUAUGCAUGUUAUAGUUGUUAAGGGUAGAAAACAUGUUAUUAGGGUUAUAUUUCUAAUUGUGCAAUAGAAACCAUGCUUAGGAUUCAUACAUGCAUUAGAAAUCAUGUUCUUAGGAUCCAUGUUUCUUGCUUCAGCAUCUCAUCCAUCACUAAUCCAUGUCUAUCACUUAGAAAUCAUGCUCCUAGGACAAUAACAACAUUGUCAUAAAAGCUAUUACUCUUGUACUUUCAGAAGUCAUAUUUCAACAAUUUUGCAACUCUUGUGUGCCUUUAGAAAUCAUGUCUUAGGAAUUCUAUUUUUAACAAUCCUUCCAUCUGCAUGUGCAUAUUAGAUAUCAUGUUCUAGGAUCCUGUUUGCAUUUUGUUUAACACGCCUAGUUAAUUACUGAUUCAUGAAAAGGUAAUAAUAAUAAUCUCAUUGUGAUGUUUUGUUUUUUGAAUAAAAUUGGUAAUAAUCUCUGCAUUCGUAUCAACUAGAACAUGCUCUUAUAGUAAAAUAAUUUCCACCAUAUUUUAAUAAUUUUGAAUAACUACUGCAUACUAUUUUACGCCUAGGCAAGGCCUAGGUAAUCAACUUUAAAUAAAACCAGAACCAUCUGUGAUUAGUGUUUAAUUAUCAACUGUAAAAAUCAGUAGGCAAGCCUGAUUCAGACUUCUUUUCUGAGUCAUAUAAUAAAUCUGGUUAUGCUGUUAUCACUUAGAUGGCAUGCUUUAGAAUUCUGAGUUUAAAUUCAGACUUUAAUUGUGUAUGAGUCAUGUUGUCUAUGUGCAUUACCUGUGGAGGUGUAUUUGAGCCUUUCAUUUGUCUUCUAUGCUCCCUUUAAUUGAAGUCCUACUUGUUAUUGAAUGUCGCCUUAGUAUUUUGCCUUUAAACCUGAGGGUCUGCCUAGAACAUCCUUUUUAUAAGAUAGGAGUCCUAAAUUCCUCCGGGACUGAUAGGAAAGGACGGGUAACAGUAUGCAAUAGGGGUCGAGAUCAACCCUCGUUUUAAUAACCUUCGUGGGGCGGAACAUGGUAGAUAUGGAUAUGAUGAUCGGUGCGUUAAUACCACGUGUAGCCCCUUUUUGAGGAGUGUCAUACCCGGUAUUGCAUUGAUGUGAUCCAUAUUAUAAACAAACCUAGGACACCCUUCUUUACAUUCAUAAACAUGCUUAGAUUGUAACUCUUUUUAAAAUCUUGUUUUUCUUUUGUUGUCCUUUUCAAACACUUGUGUAUUUAAACUUAAAUCCCCUACUAUUUGAGCCAUGCUUGUUUAUUUGCUAAUUGCACACAUUCACAAAAACUGUAUGGCCGGGAACCACACUAGUAGAUCCUAAGGGGUGCCUAACACCUUCCCCUUAGUAUAAUUCAAGCUCUUACCCUAUCUCUGGUUACCAAAUGUAGUUAUAAUAAACCCUAUAGGUACCCUAACGCAUCUUAAAAUUAUUAGGUGGUGACUCUCCAAAAAUGCAAAUCCCUUCCCAAAAGGAAAGAGUUGUCCCAUAUCAAAAUGUCAUGAACCUGAUUCCGUGGAAGAAAAAAGGGGGCACAACAAUAUGACGACUCUGUUGGGAAUAUUUAGGCUUUUACCAUUUCAUACCGUUUUGUGAAUUUGUACCCCUCCCUAUGUGUAACUAUUUGUUUACUUUCUUUAAGCAUUUAAUUUCUUCUUCAAAAGCAAAACUGACAUAUUUUCCUUGUUUCCUUCCUUUAGAGCUGCUUUAAAUUAUGAAACUGUUGUAUUUAUCGCUUUCUUAACGUGCAAAUAUAUAUCAACAUGCUUUUAACUAUUGCAUAAUCAUGUUCAACAUCAUACUCCACUCGUGCCAAACAAAUACUAUAGCAACGCUUGAUGAGUAGUUGUGCGCUUCCUAUAUCAUUACCCCCUAAAUUCGAAAAUGCUUAUUUGCGGUAAAAUUAGUCGAUCAGCGGUGCAGUCAACAGUUCCGUGCCUUCCCCCUUGAGUUGUCCGCUCAAGGGUACUAGUCUAAAAUCCCAUAGAAACCUUACUCUGUUUAAAUUGUGCAUGCAUCAUGGUCAAACCUAGUCGGGUCAGUUAUGUUGUCCCCAUAAUGAUCCUUUAAGACAGCUUUGUCCAAAAGUCCAUUGGGUUUUCCUAAACCCAAAUGGACAUCAUCACGUUCUGUGCAUUUAUUUGGAGAACUAAAUGUUUCAUACUAAUUGUUGAUGUUAAAUAGUCGAGUCUGGUGGGGGCAUGGUCUAACCCUUCUAUUUUGCAGAAAAUGAGGCACGAGGUCCCCAGUUUCAGUAUGAUUAGCAUGCUCCCACUCUUGCUAGACUGGUGGAGGAGUCUUCCAUCAAAUGACCAAAUCAAUGAGUGGAAAGAGAGGGCCGCCAGAGCUAGCAAAAAGUUGGAAUAUCUUGAAUACAGUCUGCUGGAAUUGGAAGGAAAAGUGAGGAAGAGAGUCACCGACUGCUAGAAUGCUGAGGGAAACGAAGGAGAGCACUAGGCAAAGACAUUUUUACUGGUGAACCUAUGCGAACUGGAGGAUUUGAUCAACGAGAGUAUUCAACCUAAGGAAGGUCCGUCUGGGACCAAGUAGAUAGGAAUUUACUUUUCCGCUUUAUGAAUGUAAUAAGGCCAAUGGCCAUUAGUGACUUUAAUUUCUUGCUUAUUUAGUGUCGUUUUGGGAUUUGUCUAUUUUUUAUCAAUAAAAUGAGGCAUUUAGCAUUCUAAGUUCUCCAAAUCAAUUUUUCGCUAGGCCUACCUCGGGCACAAAGAGGUUCCCAAAUUCGGACACGCUUUACAUUCCCG
rnacentral:lncRNA from 1 species